rnacentral:rRNA from 1 species
CAGCAGCCGCGGUAACACGUAGGUGGCAAGCGUUGUCCGGAAUUAUUGGGCGUAAAGGGCUCGCAGGCGGUUUCUUAAGUCUGAUGUGAAAGCCCCCGGCUCAACCGGGGAGGGUCAUUGGAAACUGGGAAACUUGAGUGCAGAAGAGGAGAGUGGAAUUCCACGUGUAGCGGUGAAAUGCGUUGAGAUGUGGAGGAACACCAGUGGCGAAGGCGACUCUCUGGUCUGUAACUGACGCUGAGGAGCGAAAGCGUGGGGAGCGAACAGGAUUAGAUACCCCGGUAGUCCCUGUCUCUUAUAC